rnacentral:rRNA from 1 species
UGCAUGUCUAAGUACAUGCCGCAUUAAGGCGAAACCGCGAAUGGCUCAUUAAAUCAGUCAUGGUUCCUUGGAUCGUACCUUACUACUUGGAUAACUGUGGCAAUUCUAGAGCUAAUACAUGCAGCAGAGCUCCGACCUUCGGGGACGAGCGCUUUUAUUAGACCAAAACCAAUCGGACCUCGUGUCCGUCUCUUGUGGUGACUCUGUAUAACUUUGGGCUGAUCGCACGGGCCUGUCCCGGCGACGUAUCUUUCAAGUGUCUGCCUUAUCAACUUUCGAUGGUAGGUUACGCGCCUACCAUGGUCGUAACGGGUAACGGGGAAUCAAGGUUCAAUUCCGGAGAGGGAGCCUGAGAAACGGCUACCACAUCCAAGGAAGGCAGAAGGCGCGCAAAUUACCCACUCCCAGAACGGGGAGGUAGUGACGAANAAUAACAAUACCGGGACUCUUUUGAGACCCCGUAAUUGGAAUGAGUACACUCUAAAUCCUUUAACGAGGAUCCAUUGGAGGGUAAGUCUGGUGCCAGCAACCCGCGGUAAUUCCAGCUCCAAUAGCGUAUAUUAAAGUUGUUGCGGUUAAAAAGCUCGUAGUUGGAUCUCAGUUCCGGACGGGNGGUCCGCCUCCCGGUGGGUACUGCCUGUUCUGAACAGUCAGCCGGUUUCUCCUGAUGAUCUUCCCCGGUGGUCUUGGGUGACCCNUAAGUUUACUUUUGAAAAAAUUAAAGGGCUCAAAGCAGGCGUGACGCCUGAAUAAUGGUGCAUGGAAUAAUGGAAUAGGACCUCGGGUUUAAUUUGGUGGNUUNCGGAACACCGAGGUAAUGAUUAAUAGGGACAGACGGGGGCAUUAGUAUUCGGACNCUNUUANGGNGAAAA